rnacentral:rRNA from 1 species
UACGAAGGGGGCUAGCGUUGCUCGGAAUCACUGGGCGUAAAGCGCACGUAGGCGGAUUGUUAAGUCAGGGGUGAAAUCCUGGAGCUCAACUCCAGAACUGCCUUCGAUACUGAAGAGCUUGAGUCCGGGAGAGGUGAGUGGAACUGCGAGUGUAGAGGUGAAAUUCGUAGAUAUUCGCAAGAACACCAGUGGCGAAGGCGGCUCACUGGCCCGGUACUGACGCUGAGGUGCGAAAGCGUGGGGAGCAAACAGG